rnacentral:rRNA from 1 species
UACGUAGGGGGCAAGCGUUGUCCGGAUUCAUUGGGCGUAAAGAGCGUGUAGGCGGCCAGGUAGGUCGGUUGUGAAAACUGGAGGCUCAACCUUCAGAGGUCGACCGAAACCAUCUGGCUAGAGUCCGGGAGAGGAGAGUGGAAUUCCUGGUGUAGCGGUGAAAUGCGCAGAUAUCAGGAAGAACACCCGUGGCGAAAGCGGCUCUCUGGAACGGUACUGACGCUGAGGCAGCGAAAGCAUGGGGAGCGAACAGG